CGGGUUCCAGAGGCCCCUGAACAGGUUCACUCCUCCCCCACACUCUCGCAGGUUCUCGGCGCAGGGCAACCUCUCCUCACAGGUGCACGGAAAGAGAAACCGUCGCUGGGAAAGUUACCGUAGGGUCUCUUGGCGCGGAGGGAACCCGCCACACGUUGCCAAGGUGUCUUCUUGGACUUGGAGAAGGACACCUGAGGGACCGCUACGAGGCAGAGAGGUGGCAGCGCUGGAGCCAGGGAGGCUGCUGUCCUUGUCUCAGGGGAGCAGAGAGUCCCCACGCCUGACUGCUUUCAGCUGCUGCCCGCCCAGCGCGCUCGGCGAAGACUUGGAAAGAGAUUCCCACUGGGAUGCCCCGGCAGCUGCCACCAUUCGGAAGGAGGUGGGGGAGAACGUAUCGACGAGGAAAGGGAAAGAUUCCUUGCUUUGCAGCUGCCGUGCCACCAAACCUCUCCCACAUUCUAAGGAAGGGAGGAUUCCUGAGACAGCUGCUCCGAACAGCGUGGAGGCGGGGUUAACAUUGCCUGUAGAUCUCUGAGAGUUUUUUUCCUCUCGUGAUUUUCCAAUGUGAAAGUCAGGUUCGCCUCAUUCUCAGAUUAACUGAAAAGAUAAAUUAUAUUAGGAUUGUAACCAGCACAGAUCCUUAUAAUGUAUCCUUCUCCUCCACCCUCACUAUUAGCAGUAAAGCUUUCUUCCUGAUGCAUUAGUGAAAACAAACAAAUAUAGAAGAAAGUGGUUUUUCACCCUUAUGGUACUCUUUCAAGUCAUAAGGCCUUAAAAAAAAUUUUUCAUAUACUCGCAGUUCCCUAAAAUGAAAGUGAAGCAAAAAGUUGGGUCAAAAGUUAGGAAGUACCAUGGAGGAAUCAGAAGAAAAAAUUGUAUUGGUUUGAGAGAUGAAAUAGUUUCCUAGAGAACGGGUUAUUUGAGAUGGGCUUGAAAAGUAAACUGAACUUUAUCACAUGGAAAUUUGGGAGGAGGGAGGCAACAUGAGGAAAGAGAAGCACAGGAGUAUCUUCUUUAGAAAAGUGUUACAUCUUUUCAAAAUACUAAAAUGAAUUCAGCCGCACCAAAUCUCAUGUGGUUGCAGAUGUUUUUUAAAGAUUUGUUUUCUGUAAGUGGGCUUAAAUACUCCAAAGAUGAGACAGACAUUUUUCUCAUGAUCUGAAUUGGUGAUUCUUGCAUUACCAGGGUUGAGGCAAGCAGCAUCAUUGGCUUGCCAUUCCCUAAAUCCAAAAACUAUUUAAACACUUCAGGUUUAUAUUUCAGGUCAUUAAAUGAAUGUCUGCAAUAAGGGGAAGUAGG
rnacentral:lncRNA from 1 species